AGAGUUUGAUCAUGGCUCAGAUUGAACGCUGGCGGCGUGCUUAACACAUGCAAGUCGAGCGGUAACAGGCGUAGCAAUACGUGCUGACGAGCGGCGAACGGGUGAGUAAUGCUUCGGAAUCUGCCUAGUAGUGGGGAAUAACCAGUCGAAAGACUGGCUAAUGCCGCAUACGUCCCUUGACCGUAUUGGUCAUUGGAGAAAGCGGGGGAUCGCAAGACCUCGCGCUAAUAGAUGAGCCGAAGUCGGAUUAGCUAGUUGGUGAGGUAACGGCUCACCAAGGCGACAAUCCGUAGCUGGUCUGAGAGGACGACCAGCCACACUGGGACUGAGACACGGCCCAGACUCCUACGGGAGGCAGCAGUGGGGAAUAUUGGACAAUGGGGGCAACCCUGAUCCAGCGACGCCGCGUGUGUGAAGAAGGCCUGCGGGUUGUAAAGCACUUUUAGUGGGACAAAAAGCUACGGGCUAAUACCUUGUAGUCUUGAUUUAACCCAAAGAAAAAGCACCGGCUAACUCUGUGCCAGCAGCCGCGGUAAUACAGAGGGUGCGAGCGUUAAUCGGAAUUACUGGGCGUAAAGCGUGCGUAGACGGUUUCGUAAGUCGGGUGUGAAAUCCCCGGGCUCAACCUGGGAAUUGCAUUCGAAACUGCGAGGCUAGGGUACGGAAGAGGGAAGCGGAAUUUCUGGUGUAGCGGUGAAAUGCGUAGAUAUCAGAAGGAACAUCAGUGGCGAAAGCGGCUUCCUGGUCCAGUACCGACGUUCAGGCACGAAAGCGUGGGGAGCAAACAGGAUUAGAUACCCCAGUAGUCC
rnacentral:rRNA from 1 species